UGAGGAAUAUUGGUCAAUGGUCGCGAGACUGAACCAGCCAAGUAGCGUGCAGGAUGACGGCCCUCUGGGUUGUAAACUGCUUUUAGUUGGGAAUAAAAAGGCGGUACGUGUACCGCGUAUUGUAUGUACCAUCAGAAAAAAGGACCGGCUAAUUCCGUGCCAGCAGCCGCGGUAAUACGGAAGGUCCAGGCGUUAUCCGGAUUUAUUGGGUUUAAAGGGAGCGUAGGCGGAUUUUUUAAGUCAGUUGUGAAAGUUUGAGGCUCAACCUUAAAAUUGCAGUUGAAACUGGAAGUCUUGAGUGCACGCAGAGGUGCCGGAAUUCAUGGUGUAGCGGUGAAAUGCUUAGAU
rnacentral:rRNA from 1 species